rnacentral:rRNA from 1 species
UACAGAGGGUGCGAGCGUUGUCCGGAAUCACUGGGCGUAAAGGGCGCGUAGGUGGCGCUCCAAGUCUGUGGUGAAAGCUCGAUGCUCAACAUCGAGUCGGCCAUAGAGACUGGAGGGCUCGAGCACUGUAGGGGCAGAUGGAAUUCCGGGUGUAGCGGUGGGAAUGCGUAGAGAUCCGGAAGAACACCGGUGGCGAAGGCGGUCUGCUGG